rnacentral:rRNA from 1 species
GCGCUGCUAUACAUGCAAGUCGAGCGGACAGAUGGGAGCUUGCUCCCUGAUGUUAGCGGCGGACGGGUGAGUAACACGUGGGUAACCUGCCUGUAAGACUGGGAUAACUCCGGGAAACCGGGGCUAAUACCGGAUGGUUGUCUGAACCGCAUGGUUCAGACAUAAAAGGUGGCUUCGGCUACCACUUACAGAUGGACCCGCGGCGCAUUAGCUAGUUGGUGAGGUAACGGCUCACCAAGGCGACGAUGCGUAGCCGACCUGAGAGGGUGAUCGGCCACACUGGGACUGAGACACGGCCCAGACUCCUACGGGAGGCAGCAGUAGGGAAUCUUCCGCAAUGGACGAAAGUCUGACGGAGCAACGCCGCGUGAGUGAUGAAGGUUUUCGGAUCGUAAAGCUCUGUUGUUAGGGAAGAACAAGUGCCGUUCAAAUAGGGCGGCACCUUGACGGUACCUAACCAGAAAGCCACGGCUAACUACGUGCCAGCAGCCGCGGUAAUACGUAGGUGGCAAGCGUUGUCCGGAAUUAUUGGGCGUAAAGGGCUCGCAGGCGGUUUCUUAAGUCUGAUGUGAAAGCCCCCGGCUCAACCGGGGAGGGUCAUUGGAAACUGGGGAACUUGAGUGCAGAAGAGGAGAGUGGAAUUCCACGUGUAGCGGUGAAAUGCGUAGAGAUGUGGAGGAACACCAGUGGCGAAGGCGACUCUCUGGUCUGUAACUGACGCUGAGGAGCGAAAGCGUGGGGAGCGAACAGGAUUAGAUACCCUGGUAGUCCACGCCGUAAACGAUGAGUGCUAAGUGUUA